rnacentral:rRNA from 1 species
AACGAACGCUGGCGGCGUGGAUAAGACAUGCAAGUCGAACGCUUAUUACCGGGUAGCAAUAUUCGGUAAUGGGAGUGGCGCAAGGGUGCGUAACACGUGGGUAAUUUGCCGUGAAGUUGGGGAUAACUUGCUGAAAGGCGAGCUAAUACCGAAUGUGGCUGAAAGAAGGCAUCUUCAGACAGUCAAAGCUGGGGACCGCAAGGCCUGGUGCUUCACGAUAAGCCCGCGACCUAUCAGCUAGUUGGCGGGGUAACGGCCCACCAAGGCUUAGACGGGUAGCUGGUCUGAGAGGACGACCAGCCACACUGGAACUGAGACACGGUCCAGACACCUACGGGUGGCUG